UUUGGUCAAAUAGAUGUUUAAAAUUCCUAAAACAGUGUUUUGACUUUGUUCAAACAAAUGUUUGAAACCAACAGUGGGGUUAAAACAGAUGUUUGAAAGCAGAUGAUGCUUUCAGACGUUUGAAACAGAUGAUGCUUUCAGACGUUUGGUCAAACAGAUGUUUGAAAGCAGAUGAUGCUUUCAGACGGAAGGAAUAUCAGAUAGCUGUAGAUGCUUAUAUUCAGUCUCUGUUGGAUGCGCCUUGGGUAAGCUGAUCGGGCGUAAAGUCAAAUAUACGGAUGGUGAUGAUACUCGAUUGGUGUGGAAACCAAAGGCGAAGGUAUGAUUUUCAUGUGUUUUCAGAUUUUUUUGUGGAGAAAAUGAUCACGAAAAUGCUGAUCGAUACGACGAUGAAGAUAAGCGUCUCAGAAUUAUAUCUGUUUUUUUAUUAACCCUUUUAACCUCUGUUGACCAACCCUCUUAACCUCUGUUGAUUAACCCGUUCUAACCCCUGUUGACCAUUAGUUCGUAUCAGAGGUUUGAGCUUGAGCUGGUAAGUUGAAGUCGCCGCUUCCGCCACAUCCACUUCCGUCUAACGGGCUUAAGCGGAAGCUUAGUAACGAUUUCGGUGUUGAAAAUGGCGUAUCCUGAUCGGAUGAUAUUGGAGUCAAGGUAGUUUUUGUAAAUCUAACAGAAUUUAUUAUUUUUAUUAGUUUAAAGUUUAAACACAAUUGUUGUAUUAGAUUUAUAAUAUUAUUAUGAUUAUGAUGUGGCUCGGUUUAGGCUAUAGUUUAAAGUUCCAACAAUAUUUUCUGAGUCUAGAUUGAAGACAGUGUAAUUCCAAUUCAUCUCUCAACUUGAUGUUACAUAAAGCGAACAAUUUUUGCAUUCUUAAGUGUUUUUUUCUUUAUCUCUAUAGCUAUGAUUUUGACGGAGCCCCUCCUAAUAUGAAGAAACAAGAGCUUGCAAAACGGUAAGUUGGUAAUCCGAUUCUUGCUCCAUGCCUAAUUAAUAUUUAAAUAUAAAUGUCAGUAGUUUUGGUGUAAGGUUUAAAUGGUUUUACGAGUUAUGAUAUAAUUACUCAAGGAGAGAAGACACAACAACUGGCUUAAAUGAGGCUAUAAAAGUAAAUUAAGUGUUUUUUUCUUUCUUGAUUGUGCAUUUGAAUGUUUUGCCUAUUGCUUUCACUUUAUUUUUCCAAUUUCUUGCAUUCUUUAAUUCACUCUUCACUUAAUCAUUUGUCACAUGUUGCUGUUAUUGUAGUCUGGCGAUAAGGAAGAUAGCGAUGAAUUUAGUAAACGUACAGUGAAGGAUAUGCAAGAUAUUAGAAACUAUUAUGAAGGAUUACUGUCUGCUGUUGCAGCUAUGACAAAUAGUAUAUUUGUUCUCAGAGACUACAGGAAGUAGGGACCUGUUUGCUGAACAAAACCAUAACCGAUGCUGAUAGUGAAUGUGGUAGAGUGUUAUCAACUCUAGGAAAUAUACAAUCAGAACUCCAAAAUAUUGUUGAUAUUUAUCACUAUAUGUGAUCAUGACAAUUACAAAUCCAUUAGAAUCUCUGUUAUCCGAGCUGCAAAAAGUGGAGGUUUGUCUUUCUUGAUCUAUAUCCAAAUUCUUUUUCAGUAUAAUUAGGGAUGUCCUAAUUUUUUUUAUUUAUGCACAAUAUUUCAGUAGUUUAUUUAUUGCCAUUAACUUAAUUAUGGCUUAACACUUUGUCACCAAGGAAGAGAAAGCCCAGGUGUUCCAGAAGGUCAAAGUGGUCAAAGUUCAUCUGAUGUUUCAAGAUUUACAAUCAUGGAAUAUAGAACAAUGUGUGCUUGAUUGUUAUUUAGUUGUUAUUUAAAAGAUGUUCCACUAUAUUAGUUAUUUAUUUGUUAUUAAAAAGAUGUUCCGUUUUUUUA